rnacentral:rRNA from 1 species
CCAAUAGCGUAUAUUAAAGUUGUUGCAGUUAAAAAGCUCGUAGUUGAAUUUCGGGGUCAGUAGGUUGGUCAUGCCACUGGUAUGUACUGGUCUCACUGAUUCCUCCUUCCUGAUGAGCCGUAAUGCCAUUAAUUUGGUGUUGCGAGGAAUCUGGACUGUUACUUUGAAAAAAUUAGAGUGUUUAAAGCAGGCUAACGCUUGAAUACAUUAGCAUGGAAUAAUGAAAUAGGACGUUCGAUCCUAUUUUGUUGGUUUCUAGGAUUGACGUAAUGAUUAAUAGGGAUAGUUGGGGGCAUUAGUAUUCAAUUGUCAGAGGUGAAAUUCUUGGAUUUAUUGAAGACUAACUACUGCGAAAGCAUUUGCCAAGGAUGUUUUCAUUAAUCAAGAACGAAAGUUAGGGGAUCGAAGACGAUCAGAUACCGUCGUAGUCUUAACCAUAAACUAUGCCGACUAGGGAUCGGAUGAUGUUAAUUUUUUAAUGACUUAUUCGGCGCCUUACG